CUCCUCUCAGGAUCGCACCUGGAGAGUUUCCAGUACUCUCCCAGUCUCGGCUAGGAGAGGGAGGGUCAAGCAGAGGCAUAUCCAUUCCAUUCCUAGGUUGGCCAGUGUCUAGCAAGUGGAAGGCAAUCUGCCUCAAGG